rnacentral:lncRNA from 1 species
CUUAACAAAAUAAAAAAUCUAGAUAUUUAAAGCGAAUAUUCUAAAAUCGGUCAUUAAAGCACCGACCCAUUGCCCAAUCAAAAGAAGCUUGGGAAACCGUCUUCAGUCUUUUCUGUCAUCUCUUUUCAUUAUGACGAUUUCAUUUCGAAGAUAUGCCAAAAGAAAUCGGUUCGUUUCCUUUGCUGUUCAAAGCCUUUCUUUCUUCAUUCUUUCUCUCUGAAGACUUCUAAUCUUCUUCACAUCUCCCAUCCAGCCGAGCUUGGUCCAUGGCAUAAUCUGGAACUCCCCUAUCCAGGUAAAACUCUUCUCCUCUUCUUAACGAUUCUGUUGCUAUGAUAUGAGCAAGACCAUUUGCUGAUCUAGGUGUAUGUUGAAAUCUGAUAUUAUCAAGUCCAAAUAUUUCCUGUUGAAUGUCAUAAAUAUAUACCCCCACCAUAGAUCUAUCUUGACUCUUUGAUUUGCAUUUCUUGACUAUUGUGAGGGAGUCUCCUUCAAGAAUCAAAUGCUGCAAUCCCCUCCUGAUUCCCAUUUGAACAGCUUUCCGGCAGGCAAUCGCUUCAGCAGCAAAGGCUGAUGAAAUAUUAAAAUGAAUCUCUGAACAUGAAAAAAGAAUAUUACCAUCCGAAUCUCUGGCCACAAUACCCACGCCCGACUGAUUCUUUCCUCUAUCAAAUGCGCCAUCAAAGUUGAUCUUCAUGAAACUUGCCUAUGAGGACGACCAUCUCUUUUUUUCUACGGUACAAUUCAAAUCUCUCUUCUCAAGACCAUUAAUCUCACUGAUGUAGCUGUUUAUAAGAUUUGCAACUUCCGUUCCAUUUCUAAUUUUACCUUCAUGUAUUCUUUUGUUUCUGUCUCCCCAUAUUGCCCAGAGUGCACAACAAAAUACGCGAGUUUGGUCAAGGCUGAGCUCCUCUAUUGCCCAGGUAAUCCACUGUACAAAAUCCUCACAUUGAUUCCUUAAAAUGCACUGAAACGAUAAUGUUCUCCAUACCUCCCUUGUAACAUGACAGUCACGAAAUAAAUGGUUCAUUGUUUCAGCUCCUUCUCCACAUCGGGGCAGCUUGGAUUUGCUACUAACUUUCGGUGCUGGAGAUUCACCUUUAUAGGUAGAUAAUUCCAAGAUAUCUUCUAUAUUGUAACCUUAAUUUUAGCUGGUAGAUUCAGGCACCAAAGUUUUUUGUAAAAAUUUCCAUAGAUGGUCUGUAAAGCAUAAGCUCUAGGAUUUUCAGUCAAUUUUUGUAAUAGUUGAUAGGCGCUUCUGACCGUGAACUCACCUGACUGUUCGCCUCCCCAGAUAAGAAAAUCAUCAUGCGGUGUUUGUGCCAGAGGAAUUCUGAGGAUUCUAGCUGCGUCGUCUUUCAGGAAGGUACUAGAAAUCAACUCUUUUUUCCAACUUCUGGUAUUAUUAUCAAUCAACUCAUCAACUUUAACAUCACGCAUAAAAUUAAUAUCUGAUGAUAAUUUAAAAUUAACAGAAUCUGGAAUCCAAGCAUCGUUUAUGAAAAUAUUAGUACCCGUCCCCACCCUCCAACAAUGCCCUUUUAUCAAUAAGUCCUUUGCUGCCCAAAUGCUUUUCCAUACAUACGAACUAGAAUUUCCUAAACUGGAAUUUAAGAAAUUAUCAUUCGAGAAAUACUUAGCUUUAAACACUUGCGUAACGAGCGCAUUCUGAUUGUUCAUAAUCCUCCACCAUUGCUUAGCCAAUAAAGCAACAUUGAACUGUACCAUAUUUCGGAAGCCCAUACCACCCUCAUCUUUAGGCCUACACAUGAAUUCCCAUUGACACCAAUGAAUUCCUUUCUUUCCUUUUCCUUUCUGCCACCAAAAUCUAGCAAAUAAAUUGUCAAACUUAUCAUAAAGCGAUUUUGGUAAUAGAAAACAUGUCAUAGCAUAAGUAGGAAUUGCCUGAAGAACUGAUUUAAUGAAAACCUCUCUACCCCCUUGAGAUAAGAAGUGAGAACUCCAAUUAUCAAUCCUUUGCUUUAUUCUGUCUUUGAGAUUCUGAAACGAUUCUUUUUUCUUCCGGCCUACAAUAUUUGGCAAUCCAAGAUAUUUUUCCAUAUUAUUUGAACAUCUUAUUCCCAAAUCAGCCGAUAACUUGCCUUUAUCCCCCUCCUUCAAAUUCGAGCUAAAAAAGAUUAUGGAUUUAUUAAAGUUAACGCAUUGACCAGAACAAGCCUCAUAUUCUUUCAAAAUAGCUUUGAGGUUCCUUGCACUGCUUUCGGUGGCUUCACCAAACAAAAUGUAAUCGUCUGCAAAUAAUAAGUGUGAUAUUAUCGGGCCUCUUUUGCUGGCUUUCACCCUUUUAAUCAACCCCUCUUCUGUAGCAUUCCUGAUUAAGGACAAUAAACCUUCACUGCAAAUAAGUAAAAGAAAAGGGCUAAGUGGGUUACCUUGUCGGAGUCCUCUGGUUGGUUCAAAGACUCUACCAUUCCUUCCAUUUGUAGUUACAACAUAAGAGACUGUAGAAAUACAUCUCAUUAUUAAUACCACCCAUUCCUUCGCAAAUCCCAUUCGUAUCAUAACUUCCUUCAAGAAAGCCCAUUCCACCCUGUUGUAAGCUUUACUCAUGUCAAGCUUUAUUGUCAUAAAACCGUUCUUCCCUUUACGUUUUUUUCGUAGUGUAUGCAGAAUUUCAUAAGCAAUCAAAACAUUAUCUGAAAUUAGCCUCCCCGGGACAAAUGCACUUUGAGCACUAUCAAUGCAUCUUCCAAUGACCUCCUGAAGACAAUAGCUUUAGUAAUAAUUUUAUAAAGAACUGUACAUAGACUAAGUGUGGGUUUGGAUGGGCGAUUGGGUGCUGUGCGGUGCGUUUAGCUUACCUUUCGUCUCACGUUAUAGUAUCGCUACAGUAUCUAAUCUCACCGCCACCGCUGUUUUUACAUUAACCGCAGGUAAACGCACCGCCCAUCCAAACUCACCCUAAUUGGUCUAAAAUCAGCAAGGUUUGUAGGAUUGGACUUCUUCAGAAUAAGGGUGAUCUUAGUUACGUUUAACCCUUUCACAUCUUUUCCAUUAUUUAAAACUUUUAAACAGAAAUUCCCAAUAUCUUCUCCCACUAUAUCCCAGUAUUUUUGAAAGAAUAGAGCCGGGAAACCAUCAUAACCUAGAGCUUUUGUUGAACCCAUUCCUUUUACUGCAAUGUAAAUCUCCUCUAUCGUAAACUUUUUCAAGAGGAUUUCAUUUAUAUCCGAAGAGAUGCAAUUCUGAAUACCUGUUAGAAGAUGAGAAGGAUCUCCAACGCUUGUAGUCGAGAAAAGCUUUUGAAAAUAUUGCGUCGCCAUCUCAUUAAUUUCUAACUCCUCAGUAAUUCCUUUCCCAUCAUCACUAUCUAGCCUAUUGAUUGUAUUAAUUCUUCUCCGCAUUGAUGCAUAUUCACGAAAAAAUGUUGUGUUCUUAUCCCUUAACUUUAGCCAAUUAGCUCGUGCUCUCUGUUCCCAAUACAUCUCCUCCUUUUCGAUUUCCAUGCUCAAAUGGAUUCUUUUAUCAAUCAUCUUGUUCAUAACAUCAUCAAGUUCCUUCUUCAUUAAGUCUUCAAACUCUUUUGAAAUUCUUUCCGUCAUUCCCUUUCGCUGCUUCUUAAUGGAUUUAGCCCAUUUCAAUAAACUAAUCUGCAAGUUCUCAAGCUUUUCCAAAAUCGAUCCAUUUGGAGACUUCCAGGCUUUUCGAAUUUCUUCUUCUAUUGACUCCUCGUAGUCCACCAAGCCUCAAAUUUAAAGCUAGGGACUAUCUUGAAUCUGUUUAAAUUAAAUGUGCUUAUUAGCAAAGGACAAUGAUCCGAAAGGGUAGACGUCAGAUGAUUAAUAUUGCCCGUUGGAAAUAAUUCCAUCCAUUUUUCAUUCGCAACACCCCUAUCCAAUCUUUCUUGUAUAUUCGUCUCUGGUAAAUUCCCUCUUUCCCAUGUAUACCAUACUCCUAAAUAUCCCAAGUCUGAAAGGUGACAUUCUUGUAAAGUUUCCUGAAACGCUGCCAUCUUCCUUUCCUCCCUCGGCAGACCUCCCAUUUUUCCAAAAGAAUAAGCUAUUUCAUUGAAAUCUCCACUCACUAACCAAGGAUACUCUUGCUCCUGUUCCAAGGUCUUUAGUAAAUCCCAUGAAGCAUUUUUAUUUUGUGAGUAGGGAGAGCCAUAAAACCCUGUGAAUCUCCAAUUUUCAUGAGCACCCUCUCCUUUAACCAGCACAUCAAUAUGACUUAUUGACAAAGAUCUAAGGUGAAUCUGAACCUCCUCCCGCCAUGCUAAACAAAUCCCACCUCGCGUACCAACAGCUCCUACUUCAAGUCCAUUCGUGAAGCCACACCUUCUUCUAAUUGCUUCCAUACGUUUUUCACUUACUUUAGUCUCCAUUAAGAAGACUAAUUGAGGAUUAUUUUGCUUCAGUAAAAAUUGAAGCUUCCUUACUGCCCGUGGACUCCCCAAUCCACAGACAUUCCAGCAUAUGAUUUUCAUUGCACUCGGUCGGCUUGCCCAUUGGCAGCCGCUGAUCCUGUUUGGUUGGAAAAUUCCAUUUGUAAAUUGGUUUCAUCCUUCGUAGCUAGAUCCUGUUUAACAUGUCUCGACCUUUUUGGAUUCUCUUCUCGAAUCUCUUUUACCCCAUAUUCAUCGUGCACUACCUCUGCCAAUUUCAUUUUUUGCAAUUUACGAUCAGCCUCAUGGUUCUCCUUCCCUCCUACUAUUUUCAUUCUUUUCCAACUAGCUUUCCUGUCUAAGACCGGAUUAUUGACGAGACUAUCUACAGUAUCUCCUUCAUUGAUACCUACUUCCUUGUGUGAUUCAAGAUCUGCAACAACUGAUGCCAAACAAGUAUAAUCCUGGAUCCCUCUCACUAAACCACUACUUUGCUCCCUGUACUGAUAUUCUUCCUGAUCCUUUGUAAUGCCUCCAACAUAAGAGCAUUGUGAUUGUGAUUUUUUCAAUAAAGCACUAAACUUUAAACUCUCCCUUCCCACUAACGUUGAUUCUUCUUUUAAUGCUAAAGAAAAAGGUGGAUCCAUUUUAAUUCUGUUUUCUCUGCAGGAGUGAAUUCUGAGCAAUCGUGGAUACCAUGCCCCAACUUGCCAUAUCCAAAACAGUAAGUCGACAACUUUUCAUGGAAUCCAAGAUUUAUUCCCACUCCCUAUUGAAACAAAAAUACCCCUACGAAGAGGUUUCUGAACAUUUAACAGCACUCUAAGCCGACAAAAUUCACCAAGAAUUUCAGAUCUAAUUACCCCUCCGAAAGUGACUCCUAUAGCAUGCAAAAGAUCUUUUUUGUCAAACUCUGGUAGACACGGCCCAAUUUUAAUCCAAAACGGUGAUGAGACAAGUCGAAUUUGAUCUCUUAGCAUUGACUUAUUCAACCGAUCGAACAGGAUUAAUUGCUUCCUAAACAACCAUGGUUGGCCUUCCAGAACAGUUUCUAAAUCCUCUUCUAAUUGAAACGCAAUCAAAAAGAGAUUUUGUCCAGCAACUUGAAUCACAAAUUUCUUCUUUGUCUUCCAAAUACUCCUCAUAUGUACUUUGAAACUAUCUUGAUUGUAGGGUUUAUUUGUCCAUACGGAACAAAUCAAAGAGAAAUUGUUACUUGGCUCCACCAUCGAACUUUUAAUCGAAAGUUGAAUAAGAUCUUCUGUUAAUAGGGCAAUAUCAUCUCCCCCAAACCCAUCGUUACCACCACUCUCCAUUAUCCCAAGUCGCAGCAGCCACUGUUUUCGCUAGGAUACCAAGGAUAGCACUCUUGGUUUCUAGGGUUUUUAAGUUGUAAUUUGAAUUCUAGACAAACCCUAUUUUCAAAAAAAAUUAAAUGAUAUUUUAAUUGAAAUGGUAAAAUUAAAACUUAGUAGUUGUGUAAGUUUUUUUGUUCUAUGAUGUCUCUGAGCCUAUUCAUUUUAUAUAAAAAAAGACAAAAUACACUCUUCAUAAUAUUUGUUACUUUUUAAAAUCAAGUCUUUUUAGUCAUUUUUCAAAUGAUUCAGUGUCGGAUUGAUUCAUGAUACCAACUAAACUAAUAACCUAAACAUAAUGUAGAUAGAUGAGCUAAUGCAAUGGAAUUUGUUUAGGACAAUUAUUUUAUACAUUGAUAGUGUAAUUAAAGAAUCAUACAAGCGAGAUUAAGAAUCUGCCAAACACCUUUAAAUCAGAAGGGUUAUUUUGACAUAGUUUACUUUUGUAAGUAUUGGUGUGAUGUUUCGUAUAAAAAGGCUCUCUUAAGGAAAUUUAGUUCAAAGAAUAGUAAAUUUCCAAGUAAUUUGAGAUUCCGAAAUGAUAAUUUCCCAUUUGGAUUUAAAAUAUUACAUUUAGACGAUAAUUUUACAUUCUCAAUAGUGUUAAAAUUUCAAAAUUUCAAGGGUAAUCUCAAUACCACGUUUUUGUAAUGUAAUGUAAGAUUAUCGUGAAAAUUCAAGGGUUUAGAAAUUUUUAUCCAAAAUUUAACAAUUUUUUUUAUAAGUUCUGAUGAUAUCUGCUCUUUUUGACACAAUACUUUAAAUUACCCAUAGCUCCUCCCCUCCUCUUAAAUAAGAGGAUGAUGCGUUUUAGUACA